rnacentral:tRNA from 1 species
GGUUGGGUAGCUUAGUUGGUAAAGCGCUCGUCUAGCAUACAAGAGUCCUGGGUUCAAAUCCCAGCCGAGCAC